rnacentral:lncRNA from 1 species
ACUGCGUUAAGGCAUAUGUUUAGCGGCAAUGAAAAUACAUUUAGAAAAGAACGACCAUCAAGGUGCAUCUAGCAUUUCACGAUCUUUCUUCUGUAACACUGAAUUUUGAAACUCCUUCCAAAGAGACGCGACAUUUUCAAAUUCCUUUCCAACACCGUUAAUGCUUUCAAGAUUUUUAUUUAGAGCUGACAUAAGAUUCACAACUUCAUUCAUACUUUUUGAAAUUUGUAAGGUCAAAAGACGACGCCUUCUUUCAAAAUCUAUAUCAUCAAAAUCUUUAUUUUGCUCAUUUUGUAUGUUUUCAGUAAUAUCCAUAUUUUCUGAGGACAUGGUAUGUUAAUGGCUAGUGUCAAAGUCAAGCAUGAGCCAAAGUUUAUCAUAAGGUUACAAUCAAGUAGAUCUUAUAUUAGAUUUAACUAUCUUCAUAAUUAAAUGCCAAAAUUGAAGCUUCCGUACGAGCAUAGAAUAUUAGUCAAAAGAGACAUGUUAUGCAUAUUUACAAGUUGGAAUAAACAAAUACAUUAAAUAUAAUAAUAAUAAUAAUAAUAAUAAAUCCGGAUCAGUACUACAAUGUAAAUAGAAAAGGACUAAGCUUCUUUUAAAUUACUUAUUUCCUGAGCGCGGCGUAAUCUGCGUUCAAGAAUCUCAUCUUCCUUAAGUAAAGACCUUUGUAAACGAGCUUCACAUCCUACAACAGGGCAUACACAAGUUGGAUUUAACAGAGACAAAAUAGCAUCUUUUUCAUAAAAAUGAUUACAGGCUGUCGAUAAUAUUGGGUGAACAAUUGGUUGUAAAGUUAAAGGGCAUCUGUUAUCAAAGGUAGCUGAAUAUACCAUCACUUCAUCUGCUUCCUGUUCUUCAGUGUUCAUGACAUUAAAAAAUGUUUUCAUAGAAGGAAAGUCAGAACCGUCUGUAUUUUGCUCAUGCCAUAUGGUUUUUUUAAAUUCAAUGUAUUCUCCUUGUGUGCCAUAUUUACCAUAGUCGGAUUUUUCUUCGUAUUCUUGAAUGAGUUCCUUAAAAAUUUGUGUAUAAAUAUCCAACAAACUUUUAUUCUAAUUUUGUUAGAACAAUUGAAUAUGAAACAGUAAAAAAAUACGUCUAAAUUGAUGUUUUUACUUCAUCUACAUAUAAUAGAAAAAGUAGGAAAGUCAUUUCCGUGGUACGUACUUCAAAAUCACUUAUAUUUUCACUGGUUUUGUUAGCCAAUGUAUCCACCGAUUGCUGCAUCAAUAACAAUCUCUGCUUUGCAUCCAACAGCUCUCGGAUCCCGCUAUCAAGCAUGUCCAAACACUAAAAGGCAAGUGUUAGUCAGAAGUCAUAAAGUAAGCAGCAUGUCAUAUUAUGUCUAUUUUAGGCUCUCUCUCAAUAGCCGGAAAUAAGAGGAAGAAAAAUAUUAGUUAAACAAUGUUUUUGUAUGUAUAUUUGUACAGCGAACUUCUUUUUAAAAAACUGUAUCUCGACAUAACACCACUUUCGAGUUUUAAAAGCAAUUCAUAUUAAUUUUUUCCAUUAUCUUUCGUAAUAAUGGUACACAUACCUCAUUAUUUUUUAUCUCAGCAGCAACUAGAGCACAUUUUAUCACCUGUUUAAUUGAAUCGUCAAUUUCCUUCAAUUGGAAGUCGAAACUGCAAUGAUUUUGGUUUCCAGGUAAUAAAUUUUGACUUAAAGCCUCCAAGGAAGUUUUUAAUUGUGCUUCACUCAUUUACGAUUCCAUUCGAGAAAGAAGUAGUUACGACGUUUAAUUAGUAGACAACGCAAUUUGGGAUUGAAAACCUAUUAAUUGCAUAUGAAAACUAAAUGCCACAACACUUAUUUCCUUAAAUAAAAAAAGAAUGUUUUUUAAGCAAGGGUAAUAACCACGUUUUAAAAUUUAAACUCCAGUACGUUUUUAUGAAGAUUGAUGGCAUAUGUAUAAAGACUAAAUAAAUUCUUAUUUACUGUCACGUUUAAUACAAAUGAAUGGGUUAUGAAAUAUUCUCAUUUGGAAUUAGAAUUUAUAAUGCAUACUUCGGACAAUUAACGCUUGACUUUUAGUACCUCUAUUACUAAACCAACUAUUCAAUAUGAUAAACCAAUAAAGGAUGAUUAAGGCCGUGAAAUGUAUAAAUUAAA